rnacentral:sRNA from 1 species
GUCAGUUUACUAGAUAGAGGUACAGUUAAGUUCCCCAAGUCCCCAUUGACCUAAGAGGUAUCAUUCCUAAAAAGAUUAGAGGCUGCUCAGAUUAUGAUACUGAGAACCCAAAGUACCAUGUAGACUCAUGAGGUUUGAUUCUGAUGUCUUCUGAGAUCAAGAAGGAAGAUCAUAUACGCCUAAUAGGCAAUCAUUUAUACCAAUAUUUUCUGGCGCCUGAAAACUUACUAUGAAGAAAUUAUGGAGAAGACUAGAUGUCACUCACAGAUCUCAGAUGUUUCCUGUAUAGUGUGUCAACCCAGAUUCCAUUGGCAAUUGCUUAGACAUGUGUGACAGCUGUGUGAAGAUGUUGUCCAACAAGGUGAUGAGUAGUUGUCAAACUGGUAGAAAGUGUGACAUCAUCUGUUCUGUAAGGGAUGGGCAUGCUGAUGUAGGUCCAUAUCAUUGCUUAUUUUAGU